ACAGUGGACGCGAGCAUCUGUGGCCAAGUUUUUAAGGGCGCACGGUGGAUGCCUUGGCACCAGGAACCGAUGAAGGACGUGGGAGGCCACGAUAGUCCCCGGGGAGCCGUCAACCAGGCUUUGAUCCGGGGGUUUCCGAAUGGGGAAACCCGGCAGUCGUCAUGGGCUGUCACCCGCUGCUGAACACAUAGGCAGUGUGGAGGGAACGCGGGGAAGUGAAACAUCUCAGUACCCGCAGGAAGAGAAAACAACCGUGAUUCCGGGAGUAGUGGCGAGCGAAACCGGAUGAGGCCAAACCGUAUACGUGUGAGACCCGGCAGGGGUUGCGUGUGCGGGGUUGUGGGAUCUCUCUUUCACAGUCUGCCGGCUGUGAGGCGAGUCAGAAACCGUUGAUGUAGGCGAAGGACAUGCGAAAGGUCCGGCGUAGAGGGUAAGACCCCCGUAGUCGAAACAUCAGCGGCUCGUUUGAGAGACACCCAAGUAGCACGGGGCCCGAGAAAUCCCGUGUGAAUCUGGCGGGACCACCCGCUAAGCCUAAAUAUUCCCUGGUGACCGAUAGCGGAUAGUACCGUGAGGGAAUGGUGAAAAGUACCGCGGGAGCGGAGUGAAAUAGUACCUGAAACCGUGUGCCUACAAGCCGUGGGAGCGUCGGACGGAGAGCUUGCUCUUCGUCUCGUGACUGCGUGCCUUUUGAAGAAUGAGCCUGCGAGUUUGCGGUGUGUUGCGAGGUUAACCCGAGUGGGGAAGCCGUAGCGAAAGCGAGUCCGAAUAGGGCGUUUCAGUAGCACGCUCAAGACCCGAAGCGGAGUGAUCUAGCCAUGGGCAGGUUGAAGCGGAGGUAAGACUUCGUGGAGGACCGAACCCACCAGGGUUGAAAACCUGGGGGAUGACCUGUGGUUAGGGGUGAAAGGCCAAUCAAACUCCGUGAUAGCUGGUUCUCCCCGAAAUGCAUUUAGGUGCAGCGUCGUGUGUUUCUUGCCGGAGGUAGAGCACUGGAUAGGCGAUGGGCCCUACCGGGUUACUGACCUUAGCCAAACUCCGAAUGCCGGUAAGUGAGAGCGCGGCAGUGAGACUGUGGGGGAUAAGCUCCAUGGUCGAGAGGGAAACAGCCCAGAGCAUCGACUAAGGCCCCUAAGCGUACGCUAAGUGGGAAAGGAUGUGGAGUCGCACAGACAACCAGGAGGUUGGCUUAGAAGCAGCCACCCUUGAAAGAGUGCGUAAUAGCUCACUGGUCUAGUGAUUCCGCGCCGACAAUGUAGCGGGGCUCAAGCGUACCGCCGAAGUCGUGUCAUUCAUACAAUAGGGCCAACGCCUGUAUGGAUGGGUAGGGGAGCGUCGUGUGCCGGGUGAAGCAGCCGCGGAAGCGAGUUGUGGACGGUUCACGAGUGAGAAUGCAGGCAUGAGUAGCGAUACAAACGUGAGAAACGUUUGCGCCGAUUGACUAAGGGUUCCUGGGUCAAGCUGAUCUGCCCAGGGUAAGUCGGGACCUAAGGCGAGGCCGACAGGCGUAGUCGAUGGAUAACCGGUUGAUAUUCCGGUACCCGCUGUGAAGCGUCAAACAUCGAGCAUCGUGAUGCUAAGGCCGUGAAGCCGCCCUGAUCUCUUCGGAGUUGAGGGGAGUGGUGGAGCCGCCGGACCAAGCGGUUAGUAGGUGAGUGAUGGGGUGACGCAGGAAGGUAGUCCAUCCCGGGCGGUGGUUGUCCCGGGGUAAGGGUGUAGGACGUCAGGUAGGUAAAUCCGCCUGGCAAUAGUCUGAGACCUGAUGCCGAGCCGAUUGUGGUGAAGUGGAUGAUCCUAUGCUGUCGAGAAAAGCCUCUAGCGAGUUUCAUGGCGGCCCGUACCCUAAACCGACUCAGGUGGUCAGGUAGAGAAUACCGAGGCGUUCGGGUGAACUAUGGUUAAGGAACUCGGCAAAAUGCCCCCGUAACUUCGGGAGAAGGGGGGCCACACCUGGUGAUGAUCUUUACGGUCUGAGCUGGGGGUGGCCGCAGAGACCAGCGAGAAGCGACUGUUUACUAAAAACACAGGUCCGUGCGAAGCCGUAAGGCGAUGUAUACGGACUGACGCCUGCCCGGUGCUGGAACGUUAAGGGGACCGGUUAGCUCCAUUUCGGUGGGGCGAAGCUGAGAACUUAAGCGCCAGUAAACGGCGGUGGUAACUAUAACCAUCCUAAGGUAGCGAAAUUCCUUGUCGGGUAAGUUCCGACCUGCACGAAUGGCGUAACGACUUCUCGACUGUCUCAACCAUAGGCCCGGUGAAAUUGCACUACGAGUAAAGAUGCUCGUUUCGCGCAGCAGGACGGAAAGACCCCGGGACCUUUACUACAGUUUGAUAUUGGUGUUCGGUUCGGCUUGUGUAGGAUAGCUGGGAGACUUUGAAGCUCGCACGCCAGUGUGGGUGGAGUCGUCGUUGAAAUACCAGUCUGGUCGUGCUGGAUGUCUAACCUGGGUCCGUGAUCCGGAUCAGGGACAGUGUCUGAUGGGUAGUUUAACUGGGGCGGUUGCCUCCUAAAGAGUAACGGAGGCGCCCAAAGGUUCCCUCAGCCUGGUUGGCAAUCAGGUGUUGAGUGUAAGUGCACAAGGGAGCUUGACUGUGAGACCGACGGGUCGAGCAGGGACGAAAGUCGGGACUAGUGAUCCGGCGGUGGCUUGUGGAAGCGCCGUCGCUCAACGGAUAAAAGGUACCCCGGGGAUAACAGGCUGAUCUUCCCCAAGAGUCCAUAUCGACGGGAUGGUUUGGCACCUCGAUGUCGGCUCGUCGCAUCCUGGGGCUGGAGUCGGUCCCAAGGGUUGGGCUGUUCGCCCAUUAAAGCGGUACGCGAGCUGGGUUUAGAACGUCGUGAGACAGUUCGGUCCCUAUCCGCUGUGCGCGUAGGAGUCUUGAGAAGGGCUGUCCCUAGUACGAGAGGACCGGGACGGACGAACCUCUGGUGUGCCAGUUGUCCUGCCAAGGGCAUGGCUGGUUGGCUACGUUCGGGAGGGAUAACCGCUGAAAGCAUCUAAGCGGGAAGCCUGCUUCGAGAUGAGGACUCCCACCCCCUUGAGGGGUUAAGGCUCCCAGUAGACGACUGGGUUGAUAGGCCGGAUCUGGAAGCACCGCAAGGUGUGGAGGUGACCGGUACUAAUAGGCCGAGGGCUUGUCCUCAGUUG
rnacentral:rRNA from 1 species